UACGUAGGGGGCAAGCGUUAUCCGGAUUUACUGGGUGUAAAGGGAGCGUAGACGGCAGUGCAAGUCUGGAGUGAAAGGCGGGGGCUCAACCCCCGGACUGCUCUGGAAACUGUACGGCUGGAGUGCAGGAGAGGUAAGUGGAAUUCCUAGUGUAGCGGUGAAAUGCCUAGAUAUUAGGAGGAACACCAGUGGCGAAGGCGGCUUACUGGACUGUAACUGACGUUGAGGCUCGAAAGCGUGGGGAGCAAACAGG
rnacentral:rRNA from 1 species